rnacentral:rRNA from 1 species
ACGCUGGCGGCGUGCCUAAUACAUGCAAGUCGAACGGUCUUUUCUAUGGAAGCUUGCUUCCACUGAGAAGAUAGUGGCGAACGGGUGAGUAACACGUGGGUAACCUGCCCAUAAGAGGGGGGAUAACAUCCGGAAACGGGUGCUAAUACCGCAUAGUUUUCUUGAUCGCAUGAUCGGGAAAGGAAAGACGGCCUUUGUGCUGUCGCUUAUGGAUGGACCCGCGGCGUAUUAGUUAGUUGGUGAGGUAACGGCCCACCAAGACGAUGAUACGUAGCCGACCUGAGAGGGUGAUCGGCCACAUUGGGACUGAGACACGGCCCAAACUCCUACGGGAGGCAGCAGUAGGGAAUCUUCCGCAAUGGACGAAAGUCUGACGGAGCAACGCCGCGUGAGUGAAGAAAGGUUUUCGGAUCGUAAAACUCUGUUGUCAGAGAAGAACAAGUUGGAGAGUAACUGCUCCAGCCUUGACGGUAUCUGACCAGAAAGCCACGGCUAACUACGUGCCAGCCGCAGC